rnacentral:rRNA from 1 species
UCUCCUGGAAACGGGUGGUAAUGCCGGAUGCUCCAUCACACCGCAUGGUGUGUUGGGAAAGCCUUUGCGGCAUGGGAUGGGGUCGCGUCCUAUCAGCUUGAUGGCGGGGUAACGGCCCACCAUGGCUUCGACGGGUAGCCGGCCUGAGAGGGCGACCGGCCACAUUGGGACUGAGAUACGGCCCAGACUCCUACGGGAGGCAGCAGUGGGGAAUAUUGCACAAUGGGCGCAAGCCUGAUGCAGCGACGCCGCGUGAGGGAUGGAGGCCUUCGGGUUGUAAACCUCUUUUGUUAGGGAGCAAGGCAUUUUGUGUUGAGUGUACCUUUCGAAUAAGCACCGGCUAACUACGUGCCAGCAGCCGCGGUAAUACGUAGGGUGCAAGCGUUAUCCGGAAUUAUUGGGCGUAAAGGGCUCGUAGGCGGUUCGUCGCGUCCGGUGUGAAAGUCCAUCGCUUAACGGUGGAUCCGCGCCGGGUACGGGCGGGCUUGAGUGCGGUAGGGGAGACUGGAAUUCCCGGUGUAACGGUGGAAUGUGUAGAUAUC